rnacentral:rRNA from 1 species
UUGGGCGUAAGGGCUCGUANGUGGUUGAUCGCGUCGGAAGUGUAAUCUUGGGGCUUAACCCUGAGCGUGCUUUCGAUACGGGUUGACUUGAGGAAGGUAGGGGAGAAUGGAAUUCCUGGUGGAGCGGUGGAAUGCGCAGAUAUCAGGAGGAACACCAGUGGCGAAGGCGGUUCUCUGGGCCUUUCCUGACGCUGAGGAGCGAAAGCGUGGGGAGCGAACAGGCUUAAAUACCCUGGUAGUCCACGCUGUAAACGGUGGGUACUAGGUGUGGGGUCCAUUCCACGGGUUCCGUGCCGUAGCUAACGCUUUAAGUACCCCGCCUGGGGAGUACGGCCGCAAGGCUAAAACUCAAAGGAAUUGACGGGGCCCCGCACAAGCGGCGGAGCAUGCGGAUUAAUUCGAUGCAACGCGUAGAACCUUACCUGGGUUUGCCAUGGAUCGGGAGUGCUCAGAGAUGGGUGUGCCUCUUUUGGGGUCGGUUCACAGGUGGUGCAUGGCUGUCGUCAGCUCGUGUCGUGAGAUGUUGGGUUAAGUCCCGCAACGAGCGCAACCCUUGUUCACUGUUGCCAGCACGUUAUGGUGGGGACUCAGUGGAGACCGCCGGGGUCAACUCGGAGGAAGGUGGGGAUGACGUCAAGUCAUCAUGCCCCUUAUGUCCAGGGCUUCACGCAUGCUACAAUGGCUGGUACAGAGAGUGGCGAGCCUGUGAGGGUGAGCGAAUCUCGGAAAGCCGGUCUCAGUUCGGAUUGGGGUCUGCNACUCGACCUCAUGAAGUCNGAGUCGCUAGUAAUCGCAGAUCANCAACGCUGCGGUGAAUACGUUCCCGGGGCUUGUACACNCCGCCCGUCAAGUCAUGAAAGUNGGUA